rnacentral:rRNA from 1 species
AUUGAACGCUGGCGGCAGGCCUAACACAUGCAAGUCGAACGAGUGGCGGACGGGUGAGUAAUGUCUGGGCAACUGCCCGAUGGAGGGGGAUCCCUACUGGAAACGGUAGCUAAUACCGCAUACCCUCGGCUUUGCCCAGAUGGGUUUAGCUAGUAGGUGGGGUACCGGCUCACCUAGGCGACGAUCCCUAGCUGGUCUGAGCGGAUGACAAGCCAAACUGGAACGGAGACACGGUCCAGACGCCUACGGGAGGAAGCAGUGGGGAAUAUUGCAAAAUGGGCGCAAGCCUGAUGCAGCCAUGCCGCGUGGAUGAAGAAGGCCUUCGGGUUGUAAAGUACUUGCAGCGAGGAGGCGUUACUCGCAGAAGAAGCACCGGCUAACGCCGGGCCAGCAGCCGCGGUAAUAC